GGGCGGUUAGCUCAGCUGGUUAGAGCGUCACAUUGACAUUGUGAAGGUCAGAGGUUCGAGCCCCCUACCGCCCACCA
rnacentral:tRNA from 1 species